CGAUGACAACAGUUGUUCUGCGAAAACUAUCAGUCUCGUUAAUUCCGGACAUUACCACACAGCCACUCCUGCGCCUCAACUUCUAGAUGGCUGGUCACUUGACUGUUCAGGAGCAAGCUAAAACAGCAGCACUCUAUGAAGUGUGGAAUUCCAUCGUUUUGGUUCAGAGAUGGUGGCAUGCAUGGAAAGGUUAAAGUACAGAUCUACUGACCAAAAGGUCACGAGUUCAAAUCUCAGAGAAACCAUUGUCUUGCGCCUCUAGGAGUAAAGAAGGAUGAUGAGGAGGAGGUAAGAAGACAAGAAAAAGCAAAGGCAAAACAAACAAACAAAAUUUUAUCAGAUAUGAGUGAAGAACUAUGCCAAGGGAGAAUUUGAAGAAUUUGAAGCUGAGUAGUCUUGAAAAAGACAACUUAACCAAAAUAGUAAAUCUAUUAUUUUUACCAAUUUAGCAACAUUAAAGUGAUGGCUGUAUGAUAUAACAUCAAUGAUUGAUUUAUUGUCAAUGUUCCACAGACUGAAGCAAAAAAAUAUGAUAUAUAUAUAUAUAUAUAGUUAAAAAAAACACAAAAAACAACAAAGUGAGGACGUGAU